UGGAGGCUACGGGAAUCGAACCCGUGACCUCAACCAUGCUAAGGUUGCGCUCUACCAACUGAGCUAAGCCCCC